rnacentral:rRNA from 1 species
GAUGAACGCUAGCUACAGGCUUAACACAUGCAAGUCGAGGGGAAACGACAUCGAAAGCUUGCUUUUGAUGGGCGUCGACCGGCGCACGGGUGAGUAACGCGUAUCCAACCUGCCCAUCACUUGGAAAUAACCUUGCGAAAGUAAGACUAAUACCCAAUGACAUCCCACGAAGACAUCUGAAUGGGAUUAAAGAUUUAUCGGUGAUGGAUGGGGAUGCGUCUGAUUAGCUUGUUGGCGGGGUAACGGCCCACCAAGGCAACGAUCAGUAGGGGUUCUGAGAGGAAGGUCCCCCACAUUGGAACUGAGACACGGUCCAAACUCCUACGGGAGGCAGCAGUGAGGAAUAUUGGUCAAUGGGCGAGAGCCUGAACCAGCCAAGUAGCGUGCAGGAUGACGGCCCUAUGGGUUGUAAACUGCUUUUAUAAGGGAAUAAAGUGGGUCUCGUGAGACUUUUUGCAUGUACCUUAUGAAUAAGGACCGGCUAAUUCCGU